rnacentral:sRNA from 1 species
AUGUAGAAUGGCGAUCUGCUUGCAACAUCUGUCAUCCAUCUUGUCUGGCUACAGCAUCUGCCACCCCAGGGAAGCUCCAGUCGAUUGGCCAGUCUGCUCCUUUCCCCCUUUACUGCAUCCCUUCCCAAGCUGAGCCCUUGAUGAUCUUGUCUGGUAGAGGAGGACUGUCCUUUGGUCAGGGUGUAUGAGAAACUGCCCUCCCCUGCUGCAGCUUCUAAAUAAAUAUCUUUAGGAUAGAGGUGGGGAAAAGAUUAGGAAGGGUGGUUCUUCACUG